rnacentral:rRNA from 1 species
GACGAACGCUGGCGGCGUGCCUAAUACAUGCAAGUCGAACGCUUUUUCUUUCACCGGAGCUUGCUCCACCGAAAGAAAAGGAGUGGCGAACGGGUGAGUAACACGUGGGUAACCUACCCUCCAGCGGGGGAUAACACUUGGAAACAGGUGCUAAUACCGCAUAACAGAGAAAACCGCCUGGUUUUCUUUUGAAAGGCGCAAUUGCGUCACUGGAGGAUGGACCCGCGGUGCAUUAGCUAGUUGGUGAGGUAACGGCUCACCAAGGCAACGAUGCAUAGCCGACCUGAGAGGGUGAUCGGCCACAUUGGGACUGAGACACGGCCCAAACUCCUACGGGAGGCAGCAGUAGGGAAUCUUCGGCAAUGGACGAAAGUCUGACCGAGCAACGCCGCGUGAGUGAAGAAGGUUUUCGGAUUGUAAAGCACUGUUGUAUAGGAAGAAUAAGGUAAACAGGGAAUGGUUUACUGAUGACGGUACUAUACGAGGAAGUCACGGCUAACUACGUGCCAGCAGCCGCAGUAACAC